UUGCUCUUUUUAAUUAGAAAAAAAAUCUAGAACUCCCGUCUUCCAAAAACAUUUCCGAAAUGGCGCUACGUUCCCUAAUAGUCGCUUCUGCCAACAUCCUUUCGUAAUGUCACUGUAAAUCACCAAUCUGAUCUGUCUCUUCUUCCAGGAAAAUCUGCCUUGCCCUUUUUCAUCUUCUGUUUUUGAAUCCCCCAUCCCCAACACACACAAAAAAAAAAAACAAAUAUAUAUUUCCUCUCUCUGUUCAUGUUGUUUCUUACAAUUUUAGAGGUAAAUCUCUUUUUAUCGUUCUUCCCUUCAUACUUAAUAGGCGUUUCCUCUUUCUUCUGAUUCCAAUAUCUGCGUUCUGUCAGCAAUCAAUUUUCCUGGUAAAUGUUUUUUUAAUUAUUUUCAUAAUAUAGUUCUUUCCUUCAAAAAGAUUUCAAUCUCUGCGUUCUGCCUGCAAUACGAAGAUAUAUUUGAUGAUUAUCUAUUCCCAACUAAAUAUUUAAGACUUUGUCUUUUCAGUAAAUCCACUUCCGGAAUAUUUCACAUCAUUUUAAACUUUUUCAUUGUUUCCGGAUGUGCUUUUUCUUCAACGUGCUUUCUCUUAAUUAACGUUGUAGUGGUUGAUUCGCUUUUCUUUAGAUUAGUGCUAAUAUGUGUUUCGAUACUUAAUAUUGUUGGGCAUUCUAUAUAUGUUUGAUUAGUGCUAAUUGUCUGCUUGGAGAUGAAGGCAAGUUAAUAUAUGAAAAUUAAAAGACACUUAUAGGCAGGUAGAAUUUUAUCUAACUAAUUUCCUAUUUUUUAAUUUUUUUGGAUGCAAGCGAACCCGCAACCGCUAGCCUUCGAGUGCAACCAUGAUAAACCCUGCUAUAUUUAUCAUAGACAAGUUGAUAUGUGUCCUUUACAAACUGCUUCAUCAUGGCUUAGUCGCUUUAGUUAUUUGCAUUUCCAUAUCGCUUUGAAUCUCUUGGCCUUAUCUGACCUCUUUUUAUGCUUUUAUGCUUUCUAUUGAGCCGAGGGUCUUUCGGAAACAGCCGUCCUACCUUGGUAGGAGUCAGGUCUGCGUACACUCUACCCUCCCCAGACCUCACGUUGUGGGAUUUCACUGGGUUGUUGUUGUUGUUGUUGUUGUAAGUUGAUAUGUGUAGCAGAGAUGGAAAUAUAGAAGUGCAAAAACAUUGACUUGUAAAAGAAGAGAGUCAAAAACAUUUGGAUUUAUAGUACAAUCACUUGUAAUAUGCCUAUAUGCGGUAUCAUAAUUGAGAUGAUACAUAGUUAUGUGAUAUCAUACUCUGUUUCAAGAAGUAUACAUAUACUUCUGUAUGUGAGAUAUGUACUGGCAUAAAUAAAGCUAUUUAAUUUUGUGAAGCUUAUAAUAGGUAAUAUAAGUCUUACGUUAUUUAUAGAAAACCUGCAUUAUGUAGACCUGUCCGAUCCCGGAAUAAAAUUUCAUAUGUUUCCCCAUUUUCCCCCUUUUCUCUAUUAUUAUUCUUGCAAUAUCCUUAUUCUAAGAUUAAAAGUCUUAAAUUACAUCCAAAAGAUUAAUUUGCAAGGUGGUGAUUGACACAUUAUAUGUGAUUCUUCUUAAACGCUAAUUCAAAAUUUUGUAUUUACUUGGUUUUAGCCCCUUGGAUGCUAAUCAUGUGUGGACGAUAUCUAAAUAAGCUACUUGAUGCUUAUCUACCAAAUCUGUUUAGUACAAUGAUGAACUCAAAAACAUGUAGAUCGACCGAUCUAAAAGCCUAUCACAUUCCUUUUUUAAAGAUUUUUGGGCUUCUGAUUUUUCUCUUUGUGGUGUUUUAGGAUUUGAUUAUAAUCGCAGGACAUAGCCCGGUGACCUGGCUCUCUCUUGGAUCAGAAUGGCUAUUUAUCUUUUUCCUCUGUUUUUUGCCAUUUAAAAUAUUAUCAAAAACAAUUGUUUAAUUAACAGGAAACCCUUUGGCCUUCGGUUAAAGCAAUCCCAAAAGACGCUAAUGUUUCCGGUUAAUCAAAACUCUAACAGGUGCUUCUUUGUCCACAGCUCCUGUUCUUUCUUCCCAAUCCCUUACAGCAAGUCUCCAAUUUUUCAGAUGAUGUAUAUGUAAAAAGUAAUCUGCAUGAGUCCUUUAUUUACUUCGUUGCCAGGUGAGUACACUGUCUCUUACUUAUGUUGAAAAGUUGGAAUUUAUUCCCAACCCAUGAACAAUUUCUUUCAUUUAAUUAUACUUUUUUUGAGUUAAUCAAAAUGUAUAAGUUUUCUCAAUAUAUUUUGGACUCUGAGUUGCGGCUGUAAAAUACUUGAAAGCCAUUUAUGAAUGAACAACUCGGACUACUAUGUAUUACAUGCAACACAUUUAUAAUAAAGCAGUUACACCCGUAGAUAAUUCAAUUUGAUUAGGCUUAAUCGACUAGAUAUUUAUUAUAAUACAGGAUGGAGGAGAGUCGUCUAAUAUCCUUAAACCUUUGCGUGCUCAGUUUCAAUACAUGGAGUUUUCCGUUCUGCAACGGAGAAGAAGCACAUGACCGCAUUGCAGGAAUAAAGUUCACCUAUAGGAUAUGACCAUCAAGCUAAUCAGUGCAAGAUGUCUAUGGCACCAAGAGGAAAGAAAGUUGCUACUACAAAUGGUUAUCACCAAGUAUGGAGAUAUUUAUAAAUCUUUGUACAUUGGUUCCAAGAAGAAAUUAAGGAGCAGGAUGAGCUAAUUGCUGCAGAACAAUGACCACGUUAUUCAAGGGUAGAGAUUAACCAGGCUGUACAUCAGGUGAGAGAAGUCGCCAACAUACAUUCAAGGGUGUAGCACUCUCUAUUUGACAUUCUUAGCCUUGAGGUAAUCUUUCACAACAUAAACUCUGCAACUUGAAAGGUCUUACCUAGGCAGUAAGGACAUUGAAACAGUCACCAAGAUACUGCUCUUGAAAGGGUGCAACUGCAAAUGAUGUUCCAACUGGAAAUUUUGAGAACAAGGAGUUGAAAAGAAAAAUAAUAUUAGAAAUUACGUGUGUAGAAAGCAGUUAACUCUUGAAGAUAGGACUUUGUCUUGAAGUUGUGCUUGGGUAUGAAAGACGCGCUCAGUCUUCUCUAAUUUUUUUCCUAAGUUGCCGAGUGCUUGAACAUAGUAUCAUUUUCUCAUAGGUUUUGUUUAAAGGGUUUGAGAUUCUUUUCUUGCAGGAUAAAUGGUUAGAUUUGCUUGCAGGUACGUGAAUUUUCGCUGUUGUAAGUGGAAUAACGAAACUGAAAUUGCAUCAAAUAAGUUCUGAAGUAGGUGCUAUAACAUAUUGAUGUUUGGUUUGUAGGGCAGAUGGUAAUUGUUUGGGCCAGUAGGUGGUCUUGGUAUGAGGAAGCAAUUGAUAUGAUGUGUGAAUUGUAGUUUGAGAAUUAUUUCAGAUAUUACGACCAGGGGCGUAACUUUCAACGGAGAGCAUAAAUUUGUGUGUAAAAAUUAAUUAAAAUUACAAUAAAUAGUAGACAUAAACCCAUAACUUUUAAAAUACCAACUAAGAAUACAUGAAAGACUAAACCCAUAAAGUUUAAAUCUUGAAUCUGCCUCUGAUUACGACCUAUUAUCAAUUACACAUACAGCUGCCCUCUACUAAAUAGUUCAACUAUAUGUGAUAUAUAAGAAGCUGGAUAAAAGACCACCAAUGCUUGGCAACUUCCUGAUAACUGGUUCUAGAACAUUGUUACUGCUUUGUUUUGCAGUAACCAAUAAACAUGUGGUAGGAUUUGAACUUUGGAGUUGACCUUUGGGCCAGUUGUGUUGUUGUAUGGUAACUCUCUGAAAACUAGAGUAGUACUAACUGUACUGUAGAUGAAACAAGGAGGUAAGAUCAUCUUCAAAGUCAAUGUUAGCUUUAGUAGUCAUGAGUUCUUGACUGAACUAAUCAAACAAUGUACACUUUUCUAUUGUUUUUAGCCUUGAAUAUUUUAUUUGCUUUUAUAUUUAUGCAGCUUUGACAGUAAAGAUUCAUUUUAAUUUUUCAACGGUUAAAUUUAUAUCCUAUUUAUGAAGAUUAGAAUUCUUUCCCCUCCACGAAGAGCAUUAUUUCAUUUCUAUGUUUUUCUUCAUCCUCCUCCCAGGUUAUUAAGCAGAAUCUCUAUAGAUUAUAGCACUCGAAACUUAAAAUAUGAGUUAUUGUUGUUUAUUUAUAUAAUGUGACAUCUGUUUGUCUCAUUUCGUUAUCAUGAUUGUGCUAAUUAAUUCUGCAGUUGAUUGAUCUGGUUGUAAUUGUAUUGACUUUGUGGUGUUUUCUGGAUGAUGAUUAAAGAAGAGGGCAAAAAAAGAGCCACGAGAAAAGAACUAUGAACACUUUGAAAGUUAUGCUAUGGAAUAAGCAGAAGAACGACAAAGAGUACUGCAAUGAACAAUCUGAUAACGGUGGUGGAUAAACACAUCAUUGACAGGCGAGAGAGACGCAAAAAUGAGGAAUGCUAGAAUAGUGGUGAUAUGCAUUCUUCUACUGAUAGGAUAAGAGAGCAAAGGCACAAGAGAUUAAUGGGAAACAAGAUAUGUUACUCCCGACUAGCCUCAAUACUGCUAACGGACAAAAUAAAGGUGGCAUGAUUAUGGUAGACUUGGGUUCCAUAUAAGUUAUACUUAACACCGGACUGAACCAAAGUCAUGACCCUGACAUCUAAAAUGUCAUUGAACAACUGGUGAAGGAGAGUGAUGAGGCCAGUGUUUCAAUGGAGCAUAUACAGAUGAAGAUGAAAAGGUCGUAGACAGUUUGGUAUAAACAUUUGCACUCACCUCCAUUAAAGAUGAUUUAAGGCAAUCGUGAGGGCAUCGGAAGUGAGGCAGAGACUACAAAGAGAGAAGAAAUUUUGUUGGAACUUGAUCAGUAAUUAAGCCACUUGAGAUGUCUAGGAUUUUGACGGACAUGAACAGCUCACAAAUGCGGAUUCAAUAUCAGAAAAUAUAAAAAUAAAGCAAGAACAACUAAAAACCAAAAUUUAUACAGGAGUUUUGCUGCAUCCUUCAUGCAAAGAAGGACAACACAUAUAUUGGUUUUUGUAUAAGUAUUAUGUUCUCACAUGUAUGACUUUUGAAUAACAUUGUUAGGUAUGAACUCUUAUUAAUGCCAUCUUCUUUCUACUUUUUAGCUUGUAUGGAUUCCCUGUCUCCUUUGUUGUGGUUCAUAGUGCAAAAUAACUUAUUUGUUGAAUAGAAGUAUCCAUGUUAUAUUGUUGUGCUCAUCCU